rnacentral:pre_miRNA from 1 species
CCGGACAAGAGUCUUCCAUCGGCCGUGUCCAUUUUUUCGACAAGAAUUCCCAUCUCUCGGCGACGGAGCAUCUUUUUGAAAUUACGAGUUAAUUAAAUAAAAAAGUUUUCUCUGUUUUCGAGAGACGGAAGUCUUGCACAAGAAAUUUAAAAAAACAGGUCGGUGGGACUUUCGUCCGUGU